GUGUGAGCCACCGUGCCUGGCCAUUCUUGAUAUUGUUAAUGUAUGUUUUUAUUCUGAAAAAGGUUUUUUGUUGUUUAUUUAUUUAUUUUUGAGACAGAGUCUCACUCUGUUGCCCAGGCUGGAGUGCACUGGUACAAUCUUGGUUCACUGCAACCUCCGCCUCCUGGCUUGAAGAUUUUCCUGCCUCAGCUUCCUGAGUAGCUGGGAUCACAGGCACGUGCCACCAUGUUUGGCUAAUUUUCGUAUUUUUUGUAGAGCUGGGGUUUCACCAUGUCGGCCAGGCUGGUCUCAAACUCCUGACAUCAGGUGAUCUGCCCACCUCGGCCUUAUAAACUGCUGUGAUUAUAGGCAUAAGCUACUGUGUCUGGCCUAAUUGUCCUCUACUAAUACUGUAUUAGGCUGGGAAGACUAACUGCUCUAGCAAUCCUCAAAUCUCAAUGGUGUAAGAAAAUAAAAACUUUAUUUUUUGCUCAUGUCACAGUUCGGUGCAGGAUAGUGAGAAGGAUCUGCUCUCCUUUGCUACUGGAGACCCAGGCUGCUUCUGUGUAGUGCCUAGAAAAGUCUCAGCAGCUGAGAGGUGAAAAGGUGUGGAGGAUUGCAUGGAAGGUUUUAUAAGCCAAGCCCAGGGGCUGUUGAAUUUCAUGUCCUCUCAUAUUUUAUUGGCCAGAAAUCAGGUAUAGUACCACAUCGAACUGGAAAGGAGGCCAGGAUAUGCUGCCCAAUAGGAUGCUCCGAGCAGUGCACUCAGAAGAAUGAACAGGUUUGGAGACAGUCCAAGUCUGCUGUGUCCUCAACUUCCUUGGGGGUAUUUUCCUUACAAUCUAUAACUUUUUUUUUUUUUUUUUUGAGAUGGAGUCUUGGUCUGUCGCCCAGGCUGGAGUGCAAUGGUGCAGUCUCAGCUCACUGAAACCUCUGCCUCCCGGGUUCAAGUGAUUCUCCUGCCUCAGCCUACCGAGUAGCUGGGAUUACAGGGGCCUACCACCAUGCCUGGCUAAUGUUUGUAUUUUUAGUAGAGAUGGGGCUUCACCAUGUUGGCCAUGCUGGUCUCGAAGUGCUGACCUCGUGAUCUGUCCGCCUCGGCCUCCCAAAGUGCUGGGAUUAUAGGCGUGAGCCACUGCUCCCGGCCACAAUCUACAACUUCAGAGAAGGGCAAGUGGAAAGCAAGCCUUUCCCUUUAAAGGUAUAACCCAAAAGUUGUCUAUGUCACUUGUG
rnacentral:lncRNA from 10 species